UACGUAGGGGGGCAAGCGUUGUCCGGAUUUAUUGGGCGUAAAGAGCGUGUAGGCGGCCUGGAAGGUCAGCUGUGAAAACUCGAGGCUCAACCUCGAGACGUCGGUUGAAACCACCUGGCUAGAGUCCGGAAGAGGAGAGUGGAAUUCCCGGUGUAGCGGUGAAAUGCGCAGAUAUCGGGAAGAACACCCGUGGCGAAGGCGGCUCUCUGGGACGGUACUGACGCUGAGAAGCGAAAGCAUGGGGAGCGAACAGG
rnacentral:rRNA from 1 species